UGCUAAUGUGUACCUAGUUUAUACUAAGUGACCCAUAGGUUGAGGAGGCGAUGACCGUGGUGGUGGAGGAGGAUGAGGUAGCAAAUGACCCACUCCCGAUGCAGGAAGGUAGUGAUGACAAAUAACAAUAAAGGACUCUUUGGAGGCCCUGUAAUUGUAAUGAGUCCACUUGAAAUCCUUUAACUCUGAUCAAUUGGAGGGAAGUCUGGUGCAGAGCCACUGACCUGUGUGUGCUGCAGCUGAAACGCCACUAUCACCUGCUGCUGCUCGCACAGUCUCAUGAGACGUGAGCGGGAAGGCCGAAGUUACGCUGCAGCACAGACAGACAAGCGCCAGCAGCG